AUUUUGUAUCUAUAUGACAUACACGUCCCAACUAUUGUAGUUAUACCCUGUGUGUUUCCUGUCCUCUGUAGCCUUGUUCGUUAAAAGCUGUCAGGUAACUGUGAAACGUUUUGCGUUGGUCUACUAAGUACAGUCGGAACUGCUAUUAUUUCGGUAUGUCACUUACGUUCAUCUGGAUUUUCUAGUAAGCUUACGUAUUGUGUGGGGUAUUUUUAGAAGUUAGUCGGGGUAAGAGUCCCCGUACCUAUCCCUCCUGGAACUGGCCCCGGACCAGCCAAGGCCUGCUUUGG